rnacentral:rRNA from 1 species
AUGAAGACUAUAGCCUGGAACUGUCGGGGUUUGGGAAAUGGCCCGGCAGUUCGUGGUCUUCUGGCUCUCCAGAAGGAGGAUCCCGACAUUCUUUUUCUGUCUGAAACCCACCUGGAUAAGAGGAGAAUGGAAAAGUUUCGUGGUCGGUUGGGGAUGCAAAAUCUUUUAGUUAAGGAUUGUGUGGGGAAGAGUGGUGGCCUAGCAUUGUUAUGGAAGAAGGGGAUUGAUGUGACACUCAGGUGGAUGGGGAGGAUGCACAUUGAUGUCAUUAUUCAGGAGGAGGAUGGUUUCAAAUGGCGGCUCACGGGUAUCUAUGGAGAACCACGUAUGGAGAAGAAGGUGGAGACUUGGCGGCUCAUGAGAACUCUAAACCACCAAUCUAACCUGCCCUGGGUCUGCGUUGGAGAUUUUAAUGAGAUUUUGUUCAACCAUGAGAAACAAGGAGGGGUCCCUAGAGCGCACUCCCUAAUGUAG